rnacentral:rRNA from 1 species
AGUCGGGAAAGUUUUUCGCUAAGAGAUCGGUCUAUAUCCUAUCAGUUAGUUGGUGAGGUAACGGCUCACCAAGGCAAUGACAGGUAGCGGGUUUGAGAGGAUGAUCCGCCACACUGGUACUGAGACACGGACCAGACUCCUACGGGAGGCAGCAGUGAGGAAUAUUGCACAAUGGGGGAAACCCUGAUGCAGCAACGCCGCGUGGAGGAUGACGCAUUUCGGUGUGUAAACUCCUUUUAUAUGUCAAGAAAAUGACGGUAGCAUAUGAAUAAGCACCGGCUAACUCCGUGCCAGCAGCCGCGGUAAUACGGAGGGUGCAAGCGUUAUUCGGAAUCACUGGGCGUAAAGGACGCGUAGGCGGGUUUGUAAGUCAGGUGUGAAAUCCUACAGCUUAACUGUAGAACUGCACUUGAAGCUACUGACCUAGA